CAUUUGGUUAUAGAGUAAAUAUUAAAUUAAGUUUAGUAGCGGUAAGUUGCACUGGAUGCAUAGAAAAAUCUUUGUAAGUUAAAUUAGCCUCAGUCUUACAAGGGGAACCGAGCCACUUUGAAUACGGCUUCAUUGGGAUCUAAUGUUUAGCAUCACUUGUUUUCCUCAGAAGUUAAACACUGAUAAUGGGACAAGAAAAGAGGGAGCCUGGGGACAAGCAGAGGCCAGUCAUUGCCAUUAGCACCAAUAUAAGGCUUUAACUUACUAGUAAAAUUAGAUGACCUUGAGGUCACUUGUGAUUUUCGACUUUAAAGAGAGCUAUGGAUGGAGUAAUAUUGGUUGGCCUUAACUGGUAACUGUCUGUA
rnacentral:lncRNA from 1 species